UACAGAGGUCCCAAGCGUUGUUCGGAUUCACUGGGCGUAAAGGGUGCGUAGGCGGUCGGGUAAGUCUGAUGUGAAAUCUCACAGCUUAACUGUGAAACUGCAUUGGAUACUAUUCGGCUUGAGAGUUGGAGGGGGGGGGACUGAAUUCUUGGUGUAGCAGUGAAAUGCGUAGAUAUCAAGAGGAACACCAGUGGCGAAGGCGAGUCCCUGGACAACUUCUGACGCUGAGGCACGAAAGCUAGGGGAGCAAACAGG
rnacentral:rRNA from 1 species